AAGAUUGUAUUGGCGAUUACUUGUAUAUAUUUCGUAAUAAGGUCGAAAAGUCUCUAGCCUCUUGCCAUAAAUGAGAGGGCUACAAGUGAACGGUUAUGCUUU
rnacentral:ncRNA from 2 species